GCUGCGUGUCCGAGUGAGGGAUGAGCCAGUGGUGGCUGUGAGGGAUGGAAGGGCCACUGUCACCCUCAGAGCCACUAUUGACGUCUCCAGCCCUGCCCUGCAGACCCCCCAGGGGCUCCUGUUCUCCGUCGAUGUGGACAUCGUUCUGAACAUCACCCCAUCAGUCUCUGAUGGCAAACUGCAAACCUCCCUAGCUCUUGACAGCAUCAACCUGACACGGUUCCCCCAAAGCCUUGAUGCUGCCAGUGCCUCCUCGCUGGCAGAAUGGCUCAAGAAGGUCCUCACAGCUGUAUAUGUGCCUUCUGUUCAAG